GAUGUUACAGACAAGAUGGAAAUAUUCAGAGAAAGAGCGCAAAAUUCAGUCUUAUUAAAUUAUUAUUAAGAGUUUCAAAUUAUCCUUUUUCAGUUGAAUUCAUUUAUGUAAUUACCUACAUGUAUGUGUGAGUAUACAUAUAAAAUAUAUAUUAGCUCUCACUGUGUAGCUCGUUAAACUACCACAUAAAAUAUUUCCAUUGUUAAAUGUCAGACUAGCUACUAUGCAAGUACCUAGCUUCUAUGCAAGUAGCUACUGCAGUUCUAAGAGAGCCACAAAAAGUUUGAAUAUAAUUUUAGUUCCUCAGAAAACAAAAAAUACAGUUUUUCUCAUUAUUUUAAUGAAAUUCAAGCUUCAAAAUGCACUAGAAACAGAAAAAAAUAUCAAUUAACAACAACAAAAAAGUAUGAAAAUGAAUCUUCCACCUACUGCAGCACAAAAUGCACCACCUCCUACAUCGUUAGCAAUCUAUGGUAAGUAAAGCUUAUUUCACAAGAACCUGAACUUAUCUAACCAAUAACAUCUCUAAAACCUGGUUUUCUUUUCAAAUUUUUGAAAUUCCAGCCUUCCCUUCACUUAAUGAAACAGAAAUUCAUAAUGUUUACUUAUUAACUUACACUAACAAGCAUAUCUUGCUUUAAAGUUGGGGUCAUUAAAGUCCGUAAGUUAUUUUAUUUUAUGUUUUUAACUAUUUUUUAAUAUUUUGGGAAAUACUCAGGACUGCAACACUGACAAAAACAUUUAAGAUCGACUUUAUUUAUGUUUUUUUAAAUUCCUUUAUGAGAGAAUUUUGUGACAACCCAGUCUUCCCUCUAAAUAAAUAAAUAAACAAACAAACAAAUAAAUAAGUAAAUAAAUGAAACAGUGUCAAAAUAGGAAGUAACAUCAUAGAAUUCUUACACUAAAUACUGGCAUGUCUCUAGGUUAAUAAUAUUAAAAAAGAAUUAGAAAAGCACUUAAGUUAAACCCUCUCUUUAUUCCUUGCUAUUCUAGAGUGAAAAGGAGAGCAAAAACAAUCUGAGGAUUUUUGCAGUUCUGUGUUAUUCACCUCUCUCUUGAGCAAAGUAGGAAUCCACAUGAAAUAAGCAGCAAGGGCAAAGUGAACUGUUACUCAGCAAAGUAGGAAUGAGACAUUUCAGAGUAGAAUAUUUGAGAAUUCUAAGAACUGCUCAGUUUCCCUCAUGUGUCUCUCAUUUCUUUUAUAAGUAGAUAUAGUUCAUUUUCCUACUGUGUGAUAAUUAACAUGAAACAAAGUUCCAUUUUUACUCUAUUUGAAUUCAGAAGACAGAUUAUAAAUUUUACUAAAAAGCAAAAUUGUUCAGAAUUACAUCCAAAGUAUCCUAAUUUAUCAGUGAACAGCAACUAACUUCUUCAGUAUUACUCUAGGUGUGUACUGCUGCCAGCUUAAGGAAAUUCAGUAUCUUGAAAAUGGCUUAAGAUAACCAACUGCUGUUAACAAUAGUAGCAGAAUGAUGCCCUGUUACAAAUCCCUGAAGGAAAUAGGAGCUCUUGCCCUGUAGCUAUACUCAAUAUAUAUUUAAUAUGAUUUUUCAUAAAAAUCUUUUAUAACUUGGCAUCACAAAGUCAAACUGUAUUAUCAUUACCCAUGUAAGUUCAGCACAAUAUACUGUAAUCUCAGCAUAUCUAGGAAAAUAAAUUGUUCAUGCAUUUCACACAUGAAAAAAUGUAGCUGCUCUUAGCAGUGACCUUUCACUUCUCCAGUGAGAUACUCUAUUUCCUGCUGUACACUGACUUACUGUACUUUAUCAUCUGUUAUGUUCUUUAAGCAUAAAGAGAACUUUUAAGUUCAUUUUAUGGUUCACACAGAAUAGAGUGGAAACAUUUUUAGCCUUUUAGCCUUUGCAAUUUUUUUCAUGCUCUUCCAGUCAUAGAUGCUGUAGUGGAAUUCCAGGGUCACAGCCUGAACCAAUGGGUGGGCUCUGUGAGUGUGUGAGUGCGGCGGCGCGGCGGUACGAACGGGGGAGGGACACAUUCCUCAGCUCGGCUCUGCCUGCGCGCUGCUACCGGGAGGGUGAAAACAUGAUACUGAUAUGCUGGAGGAAACACUGACCUCCUCUCUUCAGUGAUCUCUCAACAUCUGUGAUUCACUUACACAAAGGCAAGAAAAGAGAAUACUAGAAAUACUGAAAAAGUACUGUUGUACAAAGAACCACGAGUUCUGUAUCCUCAGCUACAGAAUUGAUUCAGCAAGCACAAAGAAAUGAACUUGUAAUAAAAUUGCCCUUGAAAUUCUCAGAUGAGAAUGUAUGGUACAAGAGGAACAUUAUCAUAUAUUUCCAACACCUCCUAGCCAUCCUUAUGCCUUCUAGUCCAGGUAAGUAAGAAAACAUGGAGAAAGUUCUAUGUUCUAUGGUAUCAUCAUUAUUCAGAUUUAAGUAUAUAUGGUCUGUGCAUAUACUUAACAGGUUCUCUAUCACUGCAUGUUGUAAUUCAAUGCUUAUCUGAAUUAACCUUUUCCUUUUAAUCCCUAUAAAACUCUGGUUUAGGAACGGGCAGUAUGUAUAAGAUGCUAACUCAAAGAACUGUACAAAAACUUUCCUUCUUGGAAGCAUCCCAAAAAGAUUUUGUGCUAAUUCCAUACAUAAAUUGAAAUUAUGUGUGUAAACUUCUGUGCAGUGGUUAAGAGAGCAUUCAAUAAAAGGAGCAUGCUCCUUAAGACCACAUAGAAAUAUUUAAAAUUCUUGGAAAAUAGGAUUUUAUUCAGAAGUUUUUCACACAGUAAUCUGCCUAGAAUGGAAUCUUUCUCACUUGAGUUGAAGGACCACCGAUGGAAUUAAAUCCCAAAGCUCUGUGUAUUCCCAAUUUAACAGUUCAAGUAGCAAAACUGGUAGUUAUGAAAUUGGCCAAAGAGCUUCUCCAUUAUUUUGGCAGUUCAUACAAGUUACUAUGCCUGUGGUGCAAAUCCAAAAUCUGGAUUCUCGGGAAGGUACCAGAUUGCAGCCUAGAGCAAAUACUUUAAUUGCACUAGACUCUUCCUUCAACAUUUGCAGUAUCAGUCAAUCCACUAUUAUUAUAUAACGACUUAGUUCUGAUGAACCUUAUUCUUCAAGAGACUACAGACAGACUACUCUGAAAUCCUCCACAAGUGUCUUACUUUGCAUACAGGAGAUACCUGAGACAAUUCUCCUUUGCCAGCCAAUUUCAAAAAGCCAAAACAUAAAAACUUUGGAAAUUAGCUAGAUGUUACACGAGUGCUGCAAAAUGUAACAAGAGCUGUAAUACCCUCAUGAUCAGUACAUGGUCAUAUUCACACAUCCUACUAAAGUCAUCCAAAUACAGUAGCUCUGAAGCAGCCUGAUUCUAUAGUGCACUCAACCCAACCACCAUUGAAAUCAACAGAAGAUUCCUACUGAUCUCAGUCCUUACCCUGUGUGUGACUGCUAGAUGCUGGGCAGUGCCAGAUCUGCUGAUUUUGAUUAAUGAAAAUGGAGAGAGGCAGCUGUUCAAAGGAACUAGUUCAAAGCAGUUCAAAUCAGACACCGUAAGUAAGUGGCAGAUCUCUCCAAUUAAACACACAAACAAAGUCAGAAUUGUAGAGCCCUUUUUACUCAUGUUUUUGAGUGGUAUUUUCAAAUUCAAAUCUCAGUUUAAGUUCCCCAGUAAUGAGAGCUCAGUAAGUUCCCAGAUUUUCUAGUGUUUCCAAAUAAUCUAUGACCCGGACUAACAAUAUAUGAGAGAAAUUGCAUUUAUAUUUCAUUUGUAGCACAGAAAUGUUUAAAAUCUGCUUUAUGGCACCUGAGUUUCAUAGCGGUUCUUCACAAUUAUACACUUCAUGUGUAUUUUUUGCUUUUUUGUGGUGCAUUACAUUCUCUAGUUAAGCAGAAUGCUAUGUAUACCCCUAAAAAUGCAUUCCUAUAUGUUUCUACAGUAAUGAAUUUAUUCGGUGAUAAAUACCACUCUUCUGUAGAAUUGUCACACACAAGUUUUAAUGCAGUUAGUUUCAUGUUCAGCCAUAAAUACAAUAAACUAUAUAUACAAUAACUGCUUAAAAUACUUUUUAAUUUAUUGGGAAAAUUAUUCUGAGACAUUCUUGAAAACUGACAAAUAUGCUUAGUCCCUGGAACAGCAAGACAACUUAACCACUCUACCUUACCAUUCAAACAGAAUUGGUAACUAAAAAUUUUUCCAGUCCUGGUAAGUAGACCCUCGUAGACCCUACAGUAAUUCAAUUUACUUAUUCCAUUGUUUGCAGCUUGUACAGGUGCUAUAAAAGGAGCAAUCACCUUAUGCUUUUCUAGUACCCAAUUAACUUUAUUAAUAUAUUAUUAAUGUAUCUUCUCCUUCUGCAUGUUGCGGAGGAAGACUCUGCUCCUUUAUUAAAUUAAAUUAAGAUUGGCCUUCCGGUACCUGAAGGCGCCCUACAGGAAAGCUGAGGAGGGACUUUUUAUAAGGGCAUGUACUGAUUGGGCAAGCAGAAAUGGCUUUAAACUGGAAGAGAGUAGAUUUACACUAUAUUUUAGGAAGAAAUUCUUUACUGUGAGGGUGGUGAGACACCAGAACAGGUUGCCCAGCAAGGCUGUGGAUGCCCGCUCCCUGGAAGCAUUCGAGGCCAGGCUGGAUGGUGCUUUGAGCAACCUGGUCUAGAGGGAGGUGUCCCUGCCUAUAGCAGUGGUGUUGGAACUAGAUGAUCUUAAAGGUCCCUUCCAACCCAAGCCUAUGAUUCUAUGAUUUCUAAAAGAUCAAGAGGAAUUUUUUCUACGAACUUAGUUAAAAGGAAAAAAAAUCUAAAAGAAUCUAAAGGUCUUGUUUAACUGCACUUUUAUGUCAUGGUUUUGUAAUUUUGCUAUUGGUAUUCCACAUCAUAACAUCAUGGA